AAGAAAAGACUACGGCCCUGUUUGGAUGCAUAGCUAAAAAAUUUCAUGGAAUUUUUAUUCUAUGGUUUUGGUCUAAAUGAAAUACGGAAUCCUGUAACUACAAAAAAAUUUCACAGCUUCAUUUUUAAGCUGUUUGGAUACAGAUCAUACAAUUCUACAGUAUUUAUAACAAUUAAAUUUCUAAAAUUUUAAAAUUCAGAAUUCAAAAUUCAAAAUUCAAAAAUUUAAAAAUUAAAAUUCAAAAUUCAAAAUAUAAAAUUAAAAUUUAAAAUUUAAAAUUAAAAAAUUUAAAAAUUAAAUUAGAUUUUAUGUUUUAAA
rnacentral:lncRNA from 1 species